rnacentral:misc_RNA from 1 species
UCUCCGUAGGUGAACCUGCGGAGGGAUCAUUACCGAGUGAGGGCCCUCGCGCCCGACCUCCCAACCCUUUGUUGUACCCAACCGUUGCCUCGGGGGGCGACCCGGCCUUCGGGCGUCGGGGCCCCCGGUGGUCCACACCUCAACUCUUGCAUCUGUGCGUCUGAGUAACAUAUUGAAUCAAUCAAAACUUUCAACAACGGAUCUCUUGGUUCUGGCAUCGAUGAAGAACGCAGC